rnacentral:misc_RNA from 1 species
CAGCUACAGAACAACGAUAUAUGAGAAUACCUGUCAAAGACUACUGAUCUAUUUCAACGCUACAUGAAACCAUAGAAGUUGACUUAUCGAACGUGGAGAUUUCCGUCGAAUAGCUAGUUACUUUCUCACAUAAACUCAGACUUUAGCUUUAUUUAUUGCUUCAUAUUAGGCAAGAUUAUAAAUACUUAGCUAAUUACUGGAUCUUAAAGCUCAGCAGAAUGAAAAAUGUUUUUUGUUCACAUUAAUGAAACGAAUACUACAAUACCAGUUGAUAUGGAGCGGACAAACUCAACUUUCAAUCCUUUAGUUUCUACUAACGAAACAACAACAAACAAGACAGAACAUGUAUAUGUCCCAGCGCAACUUGGAGUCGAUCAAAUUAUAUUGGCUGUUUUUUUAUCAUUGGUGACGCUUGUCACAAUAAUUGGAAACAUUUGCGUGCUAAUUGCAGUGGCAAUUGACAAGAAACUUCGGACACCGUUUAACUGUUUUAUCGUAAACCUUGCUAUAACCGAUGUCACAAUCGCCGUGACAGCAAUGAGCUUCUACAUCAUUGACACAGUCCUGGGUUGGUGGCCCUUUGGAGAGGUGGUAUGUGGCCUGUGGAUAUUAUUCGAUUUCGCCAUGACGUUUGCCUCUGUGUUUACUCUAGUUGCUAUAUCCGUGGAUCGCUAUUGGUCGGUAUCAUGGACGCUUCAUUACAAAAGAAACCACACAAGGAAGAAAGUUGUAACCGUUCUCAGUCUUAUAUGGGUAUCGGUCGUCGUUGUAUGGGUUCCGCCCUUUAUUUCCGACCGUAUACACUUCAGCCAGCCUAACAUCUGUAUUUGGGAGCCCUCCCAGCAUAAGGAAUAUGUCAUAUUUGUUGACAUCGUUGGGCACUACUUUCCCUGUUUGUUGAUGCUUUUCUGCUACUGCAAGGUGUUUGUUUUCAUGCGAAAGCACAGAAAGAUUGCGGGGAAGACUUUUGCAAAUGCUGCGACCAGUCAAAUAAUGUCUACUCAAGCCAGUGGCGAAGGCACCAGCAGAACUGUACACUCGACAUCAUCGAAGGACCUCAAAGUACCAAAUGUUGACCUGAAAGUCUCAGCUGAACGGGUCGACAAGCUCAUGCCACCAGUUGGGGAACUUGCUCGAGGCCCUAAUGACAUUGCUACUAACCCAAUUGACUCGGCUGGUGACAUAACCGCUAAUCCUGUUGGUCAAGCUAAUUACGUUGGUAACGUACCAAGAUCGGGAACUUCAGUUGGGCUCAGUAGAAAAGAAGAGAGACGAAUAUUUGUAACAUUGACUUAUAUUAUAUUUUCUUAUUUGGUUUGUUGGCUGCCAUUUUACAUAGUUUUUGAUAUCUCAUUUGCUAAACCAGAGUUAAUUCCCGGAUGGCUGUACACGUUCAUGUUUUGGAUGACCUAUUUCAACAGUACCCUCAAUCCAUUCUUGUACGCCUACAGCAGCAAGCAGUUCAAAUCUACCUUCAAGAAAAUUCUUGCGUGUAAAUUGAAGAAGAUUAAUUAAAUUGUUUUUCACGAAUCUAAUCUUAAUCGUUGUUUGAGUCUCACUCAAUCAGAAGUUGAAUAUCCUAUUAGUGUUUUUCUUGCCUGUAUCAUUAUUUAAUCUCUUGUUGUUGCCUUGGAUAUUACAUUUGGUUUAGCAAGAUAGCAAUGGCCACACGUUUACUUCUUAUUAUGAAUAUAUGGAUAUCUCAAUAGCAAAAAAACAAGAAUACGCCAAGGAAUCACAAUUAGACUAUCAAACAUGAAGGCAAACAUGAAGGCAAAUAAAAAUGACAUUCUCUCUUACCCAUCGUCAAACGAAGUCUUUUACAGUACAUGCACUUGUACAUCUGUGACUAAUAAUUCUAUUAAGGCUAAUAAUUCUCUUCCUGCAUGACCAAAAAAGAGAUAUUCUAGCAACCAUAACUUUUGACCAGAGAACAUUAACUCAUUAUUUAUUCUUUGACUUUGAAAAAUAGAAAGUGUUUUGCAUGAACGUAUUAAACGUCCUAAAUUUUAUUCUCUCCGCAAUUUUUUUUCCUAUCGUCUUCACAGAGUGGGCCGAAAAUCACCACUUUUUAUACAUUUUUAUUGUCCAUUUUGAUUCAUAUAUCACAAAUUCAAAAAUCACUAGAAUUUGCUUAUUUAGUUUUCUCCCAACAUAUUUCCUCAAAAUCAGGACUGAAUCAAAUCAAUCGCCAUCCUUUCCCAAGAACUGUAUAUCUUGCGUCAAUUGACGAUUUGAUUGCUGCUGUUUAGGGACAGGAUUGAAAUAUCAAAAUAAGAAAAUGUGAGGAUGGUUUUUGUAUACCCUGGUCAGUGCGUCGAAUAACUCAAAUGCGAGUGACUUAAAGGGGUCAACGAAGAAUCAGACAUACUACAGGAACAGGUAUCUGAGAGUAGGAUUCCUCAUAAUUGUCACAAUUUCCUAAUAUGUUUUUGCUCUUCAUGCUAUGUCUCUAUGACAUGCCUAUUUCUAAUUAAAAAAAGCUGUCCUGUCUUAGUUUCCGGCUUUAUUUUAAGGGCUAUGUGGCAAAUAUUGACUUAUAUUUUUACAUUUCUUGAUCUUAAAUCUUCAAUAAGUUUUAAUCUUCAUAAAAUGCAGUCUGGUUGAAUUAAAUCUAAUAAAUGAUUUUCUUCACUCAAAAAGUGAUAUUGGAGUCAUAUUUAAAAAAGUGUUUACGAAUCUUGUAUUUUACCCUUAUACUGUAUACCAACCAUUAUAUGGUGAUCAACAAUCGUUAUAAAAGUCAGAUGAGUGACGAAGAAUAUUAUUUCCAUGUAUUGUCAGAUCAUGGGCUUUCAACAAAAAGCCAAUGGUUAAAUUAAUGCCUUUGAAAAGCUCAUUGACCUUGAUAUUUCACAAAUCACUCGUCAUACUGUAUAUAAGAGUAUUUUUUGAUAUGUCACGGGCCUGCGCGUUUGAUCUAUAGUACUAUUACAAACCAAAGGUUUUAUUUCAAAUGACUCUUGUAAAGUGUAUUAGUAUAGGGAUUAUGUCUCUUUUUUUAUUUCACAAAUUGUGUCAAACAAUUUUAGUAACUAUAAAUACUAAUGUUCUUAGAUGUAAUGCUUGUAUUUGUAUGUCUAGUAUUGUGUAUGUUAUGUUUAUAAUAUAAUUUCUCGGAUUUCCUCAUUGUGCCACUGUUGUGUUUAGCAAAGAAAUAAAAAAGAUAAAAAUGUAUGUGA